rnacentral:rRNA from 1 species
GAUGAACGCUGGCGGCGUGCCUAAUACAUGCAAGUCGAGCGAAUGGAUUAAGAGCUUGCUCUUAUGAAGUUAGCGGCGGACGGGUGAGUAACACGUGGGUAACCUGCCCAUAAGACUGGGAUAACUCCGGGAAACCGGGGCUAAUACCGGAUAAUAUUUUGAACUGCAUGGUUCGAAAUUGAAAGGCGGCUUCGGCUGUCACUUAUGGAUGGACCCGCGUCGCAUUAGCUAGUUGGUGAGGUAACGGCUCACCAAGGCAACGAUGCGUAGCCGAACUGAGAGGGGGAUCGGCCACACUGGGACUGAGACACGGCCCAGACUCCUACGGGAGGCAGCAGUAGGGAAUCUUCCGCAAUGGACGAAAGUCUGACGGAGCAACGCCGCGUGAGUGAUGAAGGCUUUCGGGUCGUAAAACUCUGUUGUUAGGGAAGAACAAGUGCUAGUUGAAUAAGCUGGCACCUUGACGGUACCUAACCAGAAAGCCACGGCUAACUACGUGCCAGCAGCCGCCGUAA